rnacentral:rRNA from 1 species
AGAGUUUUCAUGGCUCAGAUUGAACGCUGGCGGCAGGCCUAACACAUGCAAGUCGAGCGAGAAAGCACUUCGGUGUGAGUAGAGCGGCGGACGUGUGAGUAACACGUAGGAAUUUGCCCAGUAGUGGGGGACAACAUGUGGAAACGCAUGCUAAUACCGCAUACGACCUUUAUUCGAGAGGUUAGGGGAUCCCCUGCUAUUGGAGAAGCCUGCGUCGGAUUAGCUAGUUGGUGGGGUAAAGGCCCACCAAGGCGACGAUCCGUAGCUGGUCUGAGAGGAUGAUCAGCCACACUGGGACUGAGACACGGCCCAGACUCCUACGGGAGGCAGCAGUGGGGAAUAUUGGACAAUGGGGGCAACCCUGAUCCAGCCAUGCCGCGUGUGUGAAGAAGGCCUUAGGGUUGUAAAGCACUUUCAGUAGGGAGGAAAAGUUAGUCGUUAAUAGCGGCUAACCCUGACGUUACCUACAGAAGAAGCACCGGCAAACUCCGUGCCAGCAGCCGCGGUAAUACGGAGGGUGCGAGCGUUAAUCGGAAUUACUGGGCGUAAAGCGCGCGUAGGCGGCCUGAUAAGUUGGAUGUGAAAGCCCUGGGCUCAACCUAGGAACUGCAUUCAAAACUGUCAGGCUAGAGUAUGGUAGAGGAUAGUGGAAUUUCCGGUGUAGCGGUGAAAUGCGUAGAGAUCGGAAGGAAUAUCAGUGGCGAAGGCGGCCCCCUGGCUUGAUACUGACGCUCAGGUGCGAAAGCGUGGGGAGCGAACAGGAUUAGAUACCCUGGUAGUCCACGCCGUAAACGAUGUCGACUAGCCGUUGGGGAGCUUGACUUCUUAGUGGCGCAGUUAACGCGAUAAGUCGACCGCCUGGGGAGUACGGCCGCAAGGUUAAAACUCAAAUGAAUUGACGGGGGCCCGCACAAGCGGUGGAGCAUGUGGUUUAAUUCGAUGCAACGCGAAGAACCUUACCAAGACUUGACAUCCUAGAAAGUUACCAGAGAUGGUUUCGUGCCUUCGGGAAUCUAGUGACAGGUGCUGCAUGGCUGUCGUCAGCUCGUGUUGUGAAAUGUUGGGUUAAGUCCCGUAACGAGCGCAACCCUUGUCCUUAGUUGCUAGCAGGUAAUGCUGAGAACUCUAAGGAGACUGCCGGUGACAAACCGGAGGAAGGUGGGGACGACGUCAAGUCAUCAUGGCCCUUACGUCUUGGGCUACACACGUGCUACAAUGGCCGGUACAAAGGGUUGCCAAGCCGCGAGGUGGAGCUAAUCCCAUAAAACCGGUCGUAGUCCGGAUCGGAGUCUGCAACUCGACUCCGUGAAGUCGGAAUCGCUAGUAAUCGUAGAUCAGAAUGCUACGGUGAAUACGUUCCCGGGCCUUGUACACACCGCCCGUCACACCAUGGGAGUGGGUUGCUCCAGAAGUGGCUAGUCUAACUGCUUGCAGAGGACGGUCACCACGGAGUCCGAUGACUGGGGUGAAGUCGUAACAAGGUAACC